UUUUUUUAAAAUCAGUCUUUGUCUCUUUAAGUAUUUAUGUGUCUUCUGUAUUGAGAUGUCGGAAAUGGAAUGGAGAGAAAUGGCUAUUCAAAGUUAUUGCAUGCGAGUGUUUUUGCCAUUUUUUGCUUAUAUAUAUUUUUUUAACUGUUGUUGCUGAAAGUUGUACUUACCCAAAUUUAUGCUGUCACUUGAAAACUAAAAACUUGAAUGCUAUAACAUUGAGGAAUUUUUUUUUUUUUCUCAAAACUAUUCCUCAAACCUUGUGCGCCUUACGGCAGUUUAAAUUAAUAUGAAUUUUCACUUUAUUCUUGCGUUAAUUUCGCUUCGUAAUUUUCGUAGGUGUUUCUUUGUCUAUGGAAUAUCAAUUAGUUUGCUCUCAUAGUUUCUUAUUCAGUUAAAUGAACAUGCACUAUUUCGGAAUUUUGCUUCGAUAAGGGAAAACGUGCACUCUAUUUUUAACAGGAAUAACCUGGACUCUUGAUUUAACUUUGAUUUAUCUGCUUUUUCUACAAAUGCUUUGUUGAUGUAUCUAUCUGAGGCAGGAUUAUCAUUCUAUUUUCUCUUUGUUCUUACAAAGUCUUAGGCUGAUCAUUCAUUUCCUUUUUACUCUCUUUUCAUUUGAGGGUGUGGGAAGAUUUCAUUGUAGUUUUGGGAUUAUAAAGUUUUGUUUCAAUGUGUUUCUUUUCUUUAGACUAUUUGAAGACAUUUCCCAGACUAUAAACCUUAGAUGGCCAUAUCUAUGGUUGCAGGCUAUUUCUGGAGAACUUUAUUUGUCAUCAUGAACUGUUUUAGUUAUCAACUAAUACAGGGACAGGAGUGGACUUGCUUCCAUGGUUAACAAGUAGUAUAUAUGUCACUGAUUUUCUAUAGAGCUUUAUUCCCUACAUUUUGCAAUGUUCCUUUAAUUUCUCUAACAUAUUAUUCCACUUUCUUUUCAGUCAUCUGCAGCUUAAAGAAAAAAGCAAUGCAUGUUUCGAUGAACAUCUAUCGUAAUUCACGUGUACUUCAAAAUGCCUCUCAUUUAUGUGGUUCCUGGAAUAGCGAAAGUUGGCUGCCAAGCUGGGGAUUGUAACUCCAGCUCAUUUGAAAUGAUGAAUCAAGACGUUCUUGAAGAUGCAUUUGGGUUGUCUCUUUCAUAUAUAUAUAUAUAUAUAUUGUAAGCAAAAGCACCUAUUAAUCACAAUAAUGUGCACAGAAGUCUUUAGUUAUGGUAUUUAUUUUACACAUGCAACAAAUCAUGGCUUCCUGGUAACGUUCAUUGCAUCAGUGUGAAGGUUGUUGCGGUGAGCUGGUGCUAGAUGAACUUUAAAACGCUUGGUUGAUGAGAGUUUUAGAUUUCAUUUAAAAAGUAGGAUUCAAUUUUUUGGCUUUAGCUAGGUGUCUUGCAGUUAUGGAUGACAUGUGCACAAGUAAUGAUCAUCCUGACCCAAAAAAUAAGAGUUAUGGUCAUUACCUCUUUUGUUUGCACUUACUGGUACCUUGUAUGUAGCAGUUAUACUAAUAGAAUUCUACUACGGAGUGUAAACUUGUGUGUAGCGAUUAUACUAAUAGAAGUCUGCUAUGGAGUGUAAUUUACAACAAUAGUUGCAAACAGCCUUUUGAGCUAUUUGUUUCAAUCAUUUUAGUAUGAUUUUCAAUUUCAAGUCA